UAUUGGGCAAUGCCCGCAAGGGUGACCCAGCAACGCCGCGUGGAGGAUGAAUGUCGUAAGAUUGUAAACUCCUGUUAGAGGGGAAGAAUAGUACCGGUUGGACCGGUAUAUGACUGUACCCUCAGAGAAAGCCCCGGCUAACUACGUGCCAGCAGCCGCGGUACUACGUAGGGGGCAAGCGUUGUCCGGAUUUACUGGGUGUAAAGGGCGCGCAGGCGGAAUGGAAAGUCAGUGGUGAAAUCCUACAGCUUAACUGUAGAACUGCCUUUGAUACUUUUAUUCUUGAGUUCGGGAGAGAGAGACAGAAUUCCAGGUGUCGUGGUGAGAUACGUGGAUAUCUGGAAGAACACCAGUUGCGAAGGCGGUCUCUUGGUCCGACACUGACGCUGAGGCGCGAAAGCGUGGGGAGCAAACA
rnacentral:rRNA from 1 species